UAUUUAAUGUAAAUUAACUGCUUGCCCUGCAUUAAAGACUUGUAAAUGCACAACGCUGAGGCAAAGAACCCCAAACCCCAUUUAAAAUCCUUUAAUGCACAGCAAGUCAUUGAUUAUCCCACUUAUUCCAUGGUCAUUUGCCAAGUUAUAGACAAGUUAAAACUAGUUUUGCUCUUUGUAGCUUAAAAUUUGAUAGAAUGGGUAAAAAUAACAGUUAUUUCCAGGAGCUCCUCUUUUUUGUAAACAACUGAUCUGUCUUUUAUAAAUCUGAUAUAAAAGACUCUUCUGAGAUUUGAAGGAUGCACACUACUAUUCGAUAGGUAGGCUACUCAAGUUUAACCAAACUGUUUGUGGACCCCGUUUACUUCCAUAGUAUUACUUUUCCAAUUCCUGCUAUAGAAGUGAAUGGGAUCCAAAGACAUUUAUGCAGGUUUGUAACAACAUGAGGGUGAGUAAAUGAUGACAGAGUUUUCAUUUUUGGGUGAACUAUUUAACCUUUUACAGCUUAGCAGAAAAAUGUUAUGUGACCUUUAAGAAUAGGAUAAAGUACAUCUUUAACAAAAGCAAAGAUUAAAAAACAAAUUGUAGAAUAAAUAGAAAGUGCUACACAAGUGUAAAACAAUACAAAAUCGUCCCACUAUCACAUGCAGAUGUGUCACUUUGCAAUGGGGCAAUGAUGAAUAGUACACAGAACAACCAAAUAAGUUUUUACGAUUUAUAAACAAUUUAAAGAUAUUUUAAAGUGUUCUGUACUGUUCUAAUUCCAGAGAUGUUUAUUUAUGUAAAUGGUGUGAGGCUUUACCAUGUAUAUAAUAGGCCAAUGGCUAUGCUGUGCACGCGAAACAUGUCCUGCCCCUUUAAAUCACGAAGGGAGUUACCAUGGAAACUGAAGGAGCACGAGGACAGCUAGCUCCGUCUCCCGCGGUUUCUUCGCUGUUUUCAAGAGUGACAAAAACCCUCUAUAAUAGAAGAGAAGCUCAAGAUUUCAACAUUUUCUGAAGGGAGUUGCAGACAGGUGUAGAAAACUGCUUUUCAAAUUUUCCACAUUUAUCACAGUUAUUUUAAGAUGUUGACAUCUAAACAUUUGUCCAUGCUAAUGGCCGAGCAGUAGGGUUGGAACAGACCUGUCAGAAAACAUCUCUGAACCAUAUGACUAAUUUCAAAACAAUUUAUUCUUGAGAGGAGGCACCACAGUUAAAGACAGUGUUUUGAAGAAUUUUGAACUUCCUGCUCACAAACUACAUACUUAUCCAGUUAGUCUGACAGGCUAUCAAUGAGAAUGCGGCAUUACAGGACACCACUGAAAACUAUACCACUAAAAACUGAUUAUUGCUGCAGUCAGAAGAAACAGAUUAACAGCAACUAUCUGCUUGAGACCAAGAGAUUGAGCACUGGGUUAAGACAUGGUUGCAGCUUGCCACAGACAGAGAUGAAGGUCGUUGGGCAAAAGAGAAGAUUUAAAGGCAUAGCUCACCCAAAAAUGGAAACUCAUUUACUUACCAUCAAGAUGUUUCAAACUCUAUCAAAUGUAUUUGUUCAGUUACUGACUGUUAUAAAUUAUACAGGUUUGGAACAACCUUUGGGUGAGCAAAAUUACAGUUUUAAUUUUAAUUAGUGAACUAUCCCUAUUGUGAGUUUUAUAAGUUUAUUAAGAAAUGUUGAGUAUUAUAUCAGAGUUUUGUAUGUAAGGAGAUGGUAGUUGUACGUUUGUGUGUUAAUAUAGAUGGUUUCAGUGGCAACAACAUAAAUCACUUUCAUGGCCCAAACUUAACUUCGGGUAGACCUCCACAUAGAUUCAAUAACAACCGAGUAUCUCUGGAGCAGUUUUUUUUCUGAUAACAAACAAAAUAAAUAACCAGUAAAUAGCCUUAGAUCAAAUCAUAGCUAAAGCAUUUCAACCAUUACAUUGAUCUAAUGUUACUGGGUAAAAUUAAGCUUUACAAUUUUAGCUACAGAUCUUUGAAAAUGUUUGUACGGUAUACUGUCCAUUUCCAGAAAGGUAAUAAAAACAGCGUGCACAGUGACGCUGCUGACGUGUUAUCCUCAGACAUGUUUGUGAAGAUUGUUUUGUUUAUAGCGUGCGUCUCCCUCAGACUGUAAAAAAAGCUUGGGAACAAGAAAAAGCUUGGGCAAACAAGAUAACAUGUCAGCAGCGUCACUCCAGUGUUGUGCACGAGGUUCACAACAGACCUGGAAGAGAAGACGAUGCUGAAUAAAGUCAUAAUUUCUGUUAUUUUUGGACCAAAAUUUAUUUUCGAUGCUUCAACACAUUCUAACUGACCCACUGAUAUCACAUGGACUACUUUGAUGAUGUACAGUAUAUAUUUGAUCGUGUAUACACAUAUCUAAAACAUCUUAAACUGUUUCCGAAGAUGAACGGAGGUGUUACGGGUUUGGAAUGACAUGAGGGUCAUUAAUUACAUAAUUAUCAUUUUGGAUGAAAUAACCCUUUAAGUUUGGCCAGGUGUGUAACUGUGGCAACGCACAUGCAUCUAUG